rnacentral:lncRNA from 1 species
GGCAAUAGAAUUUUAGUGUUAAUGCAUGUUAGAGACAUAGUAUAAUGGACUAUGUUUCGCAGUUGCAAAAGGACGUCCUUUAUUUAUGAUAAAAAAUGCAGGUAUUCACAUAGAUGAGCCCUACAAUGAAUCAUUACGCCCUGAGCGGAACUUAAGACUUGGAUAUGCACAAAUAAACAAAGAAAAUCACUCUCUGUCCCUGAGCCACUCCUUGGACCACGUCCAUGAAUUGAUUCAUGCGAAUCCUCAUCUCAGCGAGCUCUGCUUGUAGGCCU